AAACCCUAGCAGCCACAAACACAGAGACAGCGAUCUCUCUCUCUCCCGUUCAGGCCGGUGACCGGAUUCUUUUCCGGCGUCGACCUCCAGCCAGCUACACGCCACCACAACCUUCUCCUUUAUCAUAGCCGACACCCCACCCCCUUGUCUGUUUUGUCGCCGGUGAGACCACCAUCAGUGGCGGAGGUGGCGGAAUAGAUGGCGUCAGGUCGUGACUCGAGAUAGAGGGAGGCAGGAGAGGAAGAAAGAUGGUGAUGACUGUCACUUCCGGCGACAAACGCCGCUUACGGCGGCGACACACAACAGCGGGGAACGAAGAGUGAGAGAGAGACGUGGCGAAGUGAGAGAGAGAUAGAUGACGACAGUGGAGUCGACUGCGGCGACGGCGGAGCUGUUUUGGUUUGGGUCACGUUUUCCGGCGAGCUUCACCCUCCGAUUCAGAGCCGUCUCGAGCUUUGGUCGAUCUCAGGUCAAUCCGGUUCCAGUCGAGCCUUGGUUCAGUUAGCUCGGGUUCACGUCUAAACUCAUCAGAUUCGGAUAUGGUUCAGCUUCGGCUCGUGUUCAGUUGGGCCAGUUUCUGUUUCGGGUCAACUUGGCUAACCUUCGGUCAAGCAGGGUCAACUAGUCAAACACGAGGUUCGGUUGACCUCAUAGUUCUAACCUCCUAAUCCUUUACACUCGUCAACGCUUGGAUAAUCGGAAGACUUAGCAAUUAUGUUGAUGAGGAUGAUGCUAAGAAAAGAAGUAGCGUUGAUGCCUAGAUACACAUA